rnacentral:rRNA from 1 species
ACGGGAGGCAGCAGCUAAGAAUCUUCCACAAUGGACGAAAGUCUGAUGGAGCGACGCCGCGUGGACGAUGAAGGCCGUGAGGUUGUAAAGUCCUUUUCGGUAGGAGGAAUAAGCGGGUCAGGGAAUGGGCCUGCGAUGACGUCAAUACCGGAAUAAGCCCCGGCUAACUACGUGCCAGCAGCCGCGGUAAUACGUAGGGGGCGAGCGUUGUUCGGAAUCAUUGGGCGUAAAGGGUGCGCAGGUGGUCGAUCAAGUCUGGCGUGAAAGUUCGGGGCUCAACUCCGUGAUGCGCUGGAAACUGGCCGACUAGAGUACAGGAGGGGAAGUCGGAAUUCCAGGUGUAGGGGUGAAAUCUGUAGAUAUCUGGAAGAACACCGGUGGCGAAGGCGGACUUCUGGCCAUGUACUGACACUGAGGCACGAAGGUGCGGGGAGCAAACAGGAUUAGAUACCCUGGUA